rnacentral:tRNA from 1 species
AGAGAGGUGUCCGAGUGGUUGAAGGAGCUACCCUGGAAAGGUAGUAUAUGGGUAACUGUAUCGAGGGUUCGAAUCCCUUCCUCUCUG